GGAUUCAUAGCUCAGUUGGUAGAGCACUGCACCGGUAUCGCAGAGACCAUGAUUCGAACCUCGUUCAAGACUGAAUGCU